CCAAAACCACGAGAGCAAAGCCCAGAAGUGCUGUGAGUUUCUGAGGAGUGGAGAGCACUGCCUGGGGAUAACCACAGAAACCAUCAGAAUUGCUCCAGGCCUGGGUUUCACUUUCCACCUGCUGAGGCAGGGAGAUUUAUCCAGCUUCAAGCAUGAAAAAGCAUGUCAUGUUUGCAGUGUGCCCUGCUUCAACAGCGAUCUUCUCAUCCCUGGCAGUUUCCCUUCUCCACAAGUAUCCAUCUGUUGGGAAAUAUAUUUGGAAAAAGAAAAAGUUACUUAAAUAACUAGCAUUCAGGAAUGAUUCCUUUUUCCAGAAUUUUAUUUGGUGUUAUGUGAAGAGUUCUUUCUGUGCAUGUUAUAAAGAAAUUUGCUCAUUUGGGCUUUCCCACUAGCAGAGGGAUCUAUGAUAGUAAAAGGGUUUUAAAAUCAUGGGGAUUUAGGGUUCAAAGGAAAAUUAAGCUUAGUAGACCCUGAGAAAAAAUAAAUACCCUAGGUACAUGAAGGCCUUGUACCUUGCUAGAACUGCACCUGUGUAGCCAGUACAUGAUAAAUGAUAUAAUUGCUAGAUGUGAUGAUUCUUUAGUAAUUAAAUACAAUGACUGUUUAAUCGUAAGAAUAAUCAUGAGAAACUGUGGUCAGCGGCCUAAGAAAGAUCAUGAGAAACUCACGUAUAAUAAGGUCAAUGUAUAAAAUAGAACAAUGUAAGUUUAAUAAUUACUAUGUAAGUUAUAUAACGAUAGAAUAUAAAAUACGUUCAGCUUGAAAGCCAUGUCGGAGUCAGAUUUGGGUCUGUACCCCUGAUUGCCAGAGCUCUCAAUAAAAGCACAGGGCUGCCCGGGGCCGCUCCGGCCCUCACGGUCCCGCACCGCCCGUCCCGGGGGGCCACAGCCCCGACACCGCCGGAGCCCCCUCAGCCGGUGCCCCUCACUGUCACUGCCCGAGCCCCUCACCGCCACAGACCCCUCACCGCCGGAGCCACGACACUGCCGGAGCUCCCUCACCUGCUGCCGCGCUGCCACGCAACUGCAUCCCAGUGAGGCGCAGGAUGCCGGAGCUGCCCGCCUCCCCCAGGGCCGAGCAGGAGAGGCCAAAGUUUAGGGGAGAAUUCCAGGGAUUUCCUGGCUAUCAGAGAACUACAGAACUAUAGAAUAUCCUGAGUUGGAAGGGACCCACAAGGAGCAUCGAUGUCCAGCUCCUGGCUGGCCUUAGAGUUCUCCUGUAACCACAGAAUGGGACCACAAGAGGUCAACAGCGACCUGUAAUGGCUAAUACCCCUUCUUUCUAUAUAUGAAAUACAUUAUAAUAAAA
rnacentral:lncRNA from 1 species